UCGUGCCAAAGGAUUGGGCGGCGGUUGAUUAGGUUGAUGGUGGUGUAAUGGACCACCAUGCCUACAAUCAAUACGGGCCUUGAGAGAGGUAGCCCGGAGAGAACACUGAGAUACUGGUUCCAGCCCUACGGGGUGCAGCAGGCGCGAAACCUCUACAAUGCACGCAAGUGUGAUAAGGGAAUCCUAAGUGCUCAUGCAUUAGUAUGGGCUUUUUUCAAGAGUAAAUAUCUUGGAGAAUAAGUGGUGGGUAAGACUGGUGCCAGCAGCCGCGGUAACACCAGCGCCACGAGUGGCAGCCGCGUUUAUUGGGCCUAAAGCGUCCGUAGCCGGUUAAAUAAAUCUUUUGUGAAAUCGUCAGGCUUAACUUGACGGUGUGCAGAAGACACUAUUUAACUCGAGACCGGGAGGAGUCAGAGGUAUUCCUGAGGGAGCGGUAAAAUGUGAUAAUCUCAGGAGGAUCACCUAUGGCGAAGGCAUCUGACCAGAACGGUUCUGACGGUGAGGGACGAAGGCUGGGGGAGCGAUCCGGAUUAGAUACCCGAGUAGUCCCAGCAGUAAACUCUGUGAGCAAGAUGUUGCAUAUCCUUGAGGAUGUGCAGUGUCGAAACGAAGGUGUUAAGCUCACCUCCUGGGAAGUACGGUCGCAAGAUUGAAACUUUAAGGAAUUGGCGGGGGAGCACACAAGGGGUGCGGCGUGCGUUUAAUCUAACUCAACGCAGAGAACCUUACUAGAAGCGGCGGCAGGAAGAAGGUCUGGCUGAAGACUAUACCUGACGAGCCGAGAGGUAGUGCAUGGCCGUCGUCAGCCCGUGCUGUAAAGUGUCCAGUUAAGUCUGGCAACGAGCGAGACCUAUACCCUCUAUCGCUAACAGCAACAUGUUGGACUGAGCACUUUGAGGGAACUGCCUUGGAAACAAGGAGGAAGGUGUAGGCAACGGUAGGUCUGUAUGCUCCGAAUCUUCUAGGCUACACGCGCGCAACAAUGAUAAUGACAAUGGGUCGCCACUCCGAAAGGAGAAGCUAAUCCUCGAAACAUUAUCUCAGUUCGGAUUGUGGAUUGUAACUCAUCCACAUGACGCCGGAAUCCCUAGUAAUCAGACGUCAUCAUCGUCUGGUGAAUAUGUCCCUGCUCCUUGCACACACCGCCCGUCAAACCAACCGAGCAGGAUUUUGGUAAAAUUUACUUUAUUGAGUAAAUUGAACCUAAGUUCAGUGAGGCGGGUUAAGUCGUCACAAGGUA
rnacentral:rRNA from 1 species